AGCGAACGCUGGCGGCAGGCCUAACACAUGCAAGUCGAACGAACCCUUCGGGGUUAGUGGCGGACGGGUGAGUACACGUGGGAACGUGCCUUUAGGUUCGGAAUAACUCAGGGAAACUUGUGCUAAUACCGAAUGUGCCCUUCGGGGGAAAGAUUUAUCGCCUUUAGAGCGGCCCGCGUCUGAUUAGCUAGUUGGUGAGGUAAUGGCUCACCAAGGCUACGAUCAGUAGCUGGUCUGAGAGGAUGACCAGCCACAUUGGGACUGAGACACGGCCCAAACUCCUACGGGAGGCAGCAGUGGGGAAUCUUGCGCAAUGGGCGAAAGCCUGACGCAGCCAUGCCGCGUGGAUGAUGAAGGUCUUAGGAUUGUAAAAUCCUUUCACCGGUGAAGAUGAUGACUGUAGCCGGAGAAGAAGCCCCGGCUAACUUCGUGCCAGCAGCCGCCGUAAUAC
rnacentral:rRNA from 1 species